AGGACAUGUUCCACUGUUACAUGUUGAUACUUAUAUAUGAAAAUAAUGUCCAAGUAUACUAAUUACCGUAUUAAGUCCAUACAUAUCUGUUAUGAUCCCAGAUUCAUUGAAUCUGGGGCUAUUAUGGAUCGAAUACCUUAAAUGAAUGACAACUCUUGCAGGAAAGUGCACAAGGCCUCCAAAUCCAAAAUAUGACUAUGGAAGUUUUAUUGCCCAGACAUGUGAUUGUCUAGAACCAAUUGGAUGAUGCGUUAUAUAGAAUAUUCAUAUUGAGAGCUGCCAUGUCUUCUAAGAGAAACUCCAUUCUUUGAUGACUGAUGGAAAAGCCUCAUCACUUCCUUUGCUAAAGAACUUGUUAUCUUAAUCACUAGCCAUUAAUCAGUGACCACCGUUAUCAAAGCUUCCAGACACGCAUAAUGAUACAGCUUCCUGGAUCGUGUUGAGUUUGUUUUUCAACCUGUGAAACCCAUUUGUUUUUAGGGGUGG